GUCUUGACNUCCUUUGACCNCUCUAGAGAUAGAGCUUUCCCUUCGGGGACAAAGUGNCNNGUGGUGCAUGGUUGUCGUCAGCUCGUGUCGUGAGAUGUUGGGUUAAGUCCCGCAACGAGCGCAACCCUUAUUACUAGUUGCCAGCAUUUANUUGGGCACUCUAGUGAGACUGCCGGUGACAAACCGGAGGAAGGUGGGGAUGACGUCAAAUCAUCAUGCCCCUUAUGACCUGGGCUACACACGUGCUACAAUGGAUGGUACAACGAGUCGCAAGGUCGCGAGGCCAAGCUAAUCUCUUAAAGCCAUUCUCAGUUCGGAUUGUAGGCUGCAACUCGCCUACAUGAAGCCGGAAUCGCUAGUAAUCGCGGAUCANAACGCCACGGUGAAUANNUUCCCGGGA
rnacentral:rRNA from 1 species